AACUCCUAACAAUAAAAUGUACCUAACCACUCUGAGACAAAUAUGACAUUCAUGCAAUCUGUACCCUUCACAGUCUUUCACACAAUGUCUUGUGCUGCUGCAGGGUUAUUAUCGAUCGAGGCUAAUUUUAGGUGUUUGGUGGGUGGAGUGCUUGCUUGCCUAUAGGGGGCCAAGGCUGGCCGGUUUGUGGCAAAAGUGAGGAUUUCACGCUAGACUUGUAGCCAAUGUCGUGUUACUAAUCUGAGCAGCUUCAAAGGGCCCUGGAAGGAGCCCAGAACCCACCAACCAGUACCUACUCCCUCAAUGAUUCACAUUUUGCUUCUCAGUCUCAGCUCAGAAGUCCCCCUCUCUUUUUGGGCCCCGUCUAAAUGCGACAAAGCCGCAGCGCUGCAACCCAGUCCUCUUGCUGCUCGCGCCCCCUGUCUUACCCUUCCUUUGAACGUGUGGCUCAUCGUUUUGAAGAUGCUCUAAAUAAUCCCUCCCACCAUUUUCACCCCCACCAUUCUUAUUUUCAUUCAUCUGGCAUGUGAAUUGCUGACCCGCCGCUGUCUCCUUCCCCCCGACCCCCUUUUUUUAAAGUUCAAGAACACUCAUUCUAAAAAGAGAACAAAGAGCGAGCAUUACUCCUUUUUGGUGUUUGAGUCGUAUGCGAUCUGACAGCGUCGUUUGAAGUUUCUGCUCCAGACGGAGGCGGCAGAGGGUGUAUGUGGCAAUUAGGUAAAUGCCUUGCAAGCUAACCUCAAGUAAGAGAUUUUGCAUCCACAUGCAUUCAUGUGUCUUUGAGACGUGCACCAGUAGCAGUCUCAACAUGGAGCUGUUCCAGUGAGGUUUUGAAAUGAAAUGACCUCUUUUCUUUCCACAUCUGAUCUGUAAGUGUUUAUGUAGGUGUGUGUGUGUGUGCGUGCGUACGUGCGCAUGCACGCCUGUAAAUAAUAUCUGCAUGUACACAUGAUGCCAUUCACGUUCCACAGAGCAGCGCCAAUCUGUCAUAGCAGAAGAGUGGAUGGGAGUGCAGGCUGUCCUCUUUGUUUGCUCACAGCUAAUUACAUUUCAUCGCUCACUUUUAGUGAUUGGUCCAUCAAAUAACAUUAUGAAGGCAAGAAGGCUGUUUGGGAAGUGUGUGUGUGGGGGGGGGGGGGGGGGGGAGGGAGUGUUUACUUCAACACCGACAGAGUGCACAGGCAAUCCCCAAAUGACAUCAGCUUAAAUGAAUACAUGAAUUACAAUGUAGUCGUCCUUUGUUGAUGUAGACUGGUGCAGCUCACUGACAUCAUAGUCACAGUCUUUACGGAGAGGGAGAUUGAAUCAGAUGAAUACCACAUUUUGCAGGUUCAAGCUCCCGAACCGUUUGCUAAGAGUCACUUGCUUUCUCCCAUCUACUUUGUAUAUUCAUUCUCCCCUUUUUCGAUGUUAUAACAUUUUCCAACAGGGCAAAAAGCCAACACACAUAAUCGACAUGAAAAGAAUCUCGUGACACAACACCCCCCAAAAAAGAUUUAAAAAUAUUCUGCAUAUACCGAAAUAAUGAUUUGCGGUCCCAGUGGAAGAGCAUUUCAAUUUUCUGCCCAUCACUGGCAGAGAUAGACACGGCACAGACACGUUAUUUUUAAUUAAUGAUAAUAAUGGUCAUUUUUGGAUUAUCACAAGACACAACAUAAUUUCACAGUUGAGUGGGACUCGCCGGUGUUGUCUCUCUAUCAGUUACACAGUGGUAUGCCCAUUGAUGAGUUUGGUGGUGUGUGCUGAAAUACAUGAAAGGUGAAGUUAAAGGUCACCUGUCGGUGCGUCCGCUUGUUUGCUGAGUCAAGGAUGGGCGCACGUGGACACGGACGCACAGGGGAAACGGGGUGACACAGUGCUGAGAGGCAUUUACAAAGUAGUCCAGAAAGGAGAGACGAGUGUGUCAACAAGAGAGACCAGCAUGAAGCUGGUGCUGCUUGUGUAAACAGAUGGAAGAAACUGAUAUAUCAGCAGUCCCGCGCGCCUGUUGCUUUCUUGAUGCCUCUAGCACCUAGCCAAAUACGUUUGUGAUUGUAAGCAUACCCUUGUGUUAUGGUGCAGCAUUGAAAGACUUCUCCUAUGUGGGUCCAGUCUUUCUAAACUUGCCCCACAUCAACAACCGAAUUGUGGAAUCCUGAAAAUUUCACAACAGGGAAGUCAUUAUUAGUUAAUCAAAAGAUCAGUUGCCCUUUCCUCAUUUCUCUGCCAUUUGGGUGGCCCAGUUUGUUUUGGUGUGGAGGGACUCGACAAUGCAAGUCUGUGUCAUUUUCACAGCAGGCACAAAAGCCAUUGUUCAGAUCAGGGCCAGAGUGGCACUGAGAGUGGGUCGGUGUCACAAGAUGAAGGACGGCAUUGACACGAGAAACAUGCUUGCUGCAUGCGACCCAAACUAAAUUGGAACAAAACAUGAAGACUUUCUGUCCUUUCAUACAGAUUGUGAAAUGUAACACUCAAAAAUGGUGGCAGGAGCUGGCCCACUGAAACAAAGAUGUGUCGACUUAAUUUCACCACUAAGAGAUACGCUUUUUGGUCAUUUUUGCAAAAAGACUUAACAGAACAUU